AUUGAACGCUGGCGGCAGGCUUAACACAUGCAAGUCGAGCGAGCGGCGGACGGGUGAGUAAUGUCUGGGAAACUGCCUGAUGGAGGGGGAUAACUACUGGAAACGGUAGCUAAUACCGCAUACCAUCAGAUGUGCCUAGAUGGGAUUAGCUAGUAGGUGGGGUAAUGGCUCACCGAGACCACGAUCCCUAGCUGGUCUGAGAGGAUGACCAGCCAAACUGGAACUGAGCAACGGUCCAGACCCCUACGGGAGGCAGCAGGGGGGAAUAUUGCACAUGGGGUGCAAGCCUGAUGCAGCCAUGCCGCGUGUGUUAAGAGGGCCUUCGGGUUGUAAAGCACGUUCAGCGAGGAGGCGUUACUCGAAGAAGAAGCACCGGCUAACUCCGUGCCAGCCGCCGCGGUAAUAC
rnacentral:rRNA from 1 species